rfam:Zootermopsis nevadensis contig10655, whole genome shotgun sequence.
CGCACGGUGGUCUAGCGGUUAGAACUUUGGCCUUGUAAUCCUGGGGUCUCGGGUUCGAUUCCCGGUGGUGCCC